CAGCAGCCGGUAAUACGAAGGGGGCUAGCGUUGUUCGGAAUUACUGGGCGUAAAGCGCGUGUAGGCGGGUCCUUAAGUCAGGGGUGAAAUGCCAAGGCUCAACCUUGGAACUGCCUUUGAUACUGGGGAUCUUGAGUCCGGGAGAGGUGAGUGGAACUGCGAGUGUAGAGGUGAAAUUCGUAGAUAUUCGCAAGAACACCAGUGGCGAAGGCGGCUCACUGGUCCGGAACUGACGCUGAGACGCGAAAGCGUGGGGAGCAAACAGGAUUAGAUACCCCCGUAGUCCCUGUCUCUUAUACAC
rnacentral:rRNA from 1 species